AGCGGCUGAUCCGCUGCUCGGCGGCCAAGGGCCGGCCAAGGAGUGCGAAAAGGACCAAUUCCAGUGCCGGAACGAGCGCUGCAUCCCUUCUGUGUGGAGAUGCGACGAGGACGAUGACUGCUCAGACCACAGCGACGAGGACGACUGCCCCAAGAAGACCUGUGCAGACAGUGACUUCACCUGUGACAACGGCCACUGCAUCCACGAACGGUGGAAGUGUGACGGCGAGGAGGAGUGUCCUGACGGCUCCGAUGAGUCCGAGGCCACUUGCAGUGAGUCCUGCCCCUCAGUCUGGGUGGGGGUGGGCCUCAGUUUCCUCCUCAGAUCUUCCUUGAGAGGCUGUGAGGCUCAGGAGAGGUGACCAGUUGAAUACUCUGUGCCACGCACUCAGGGCGCUCCUGGUAAACAGGUAUGUUUAGUUGCUGGUUUCUACUGACCUGUUUCUGGACUUUCUUCACAGCCCUCUCUCAGGUUGGACCCUGUUUCUGUGGCAGCAGGAGCUAGAAA
rnacentral:sRNA from 1 species